rnacentral:rRNA from 1 species
UACGUAGGGUGCGAGCGUUGUCCGGAUUUAUUGGGCGUAAAGAGCUCGUAGGCGGUUGUCGCGUCGGCCGUGAAAUCUCCACGCUUAACGUGGAGCGUGCGGUCGAUACGGGCAGACUUGAGUUCGGUAGGGGAGACUGGAAUUCCUGGUGUAGCGGUGAAAUGCGCAGAUAUCAGGAGGACACCGGAGGCGAAGGCGGCUUGCUGGGCGUGAUCUGACGCUGGAGGCGCGAAAGCGUGGGGAGCGAACAGG